AAUUAUGGCAGUCCAGGCGGAGCAGCUUUCGAGCUGGCCGGUAUCCGUUGGGGCCGGUAUUCCUACCUCCGUUUGGGCUGCCACCCCA
rnacentral:antisense_RNA from 14 species